rnacentral:tRNA from 1 species
GCUUGGAUGGCUCAGUCGGUUAAGCAUCUGACUUUGGCUCAGGUCAUGAUCUCACGGUUCAUGGGUUCGAGCCCCGUGUCAGGCU